UACAGAGGCCUCGAGCGUUAGGCGGAAUCACUGGGCUUAAAGCGUGUGUAGGUGGAUGCCUAAGUACCUUGUGAAAUCCCACGGCUUAACCGUGGAACUGCUGGGUAUACUGGGUGUCUUGAGCCACUCAGGGGCUACCGGAACAAAUGGUGGAGCGGUGAAAUGCGUAGAUAUCAUUUGGAACGCCAAUGGUGAAAACAGGUAGCUGGGGCUGUGCUGACACUGAGACACGAAAGCCAGGGGAGCAAACGGG
rnacentral:rRNA from 1 species